GUAUACAUUUCUUUACGAAGAGAAAAUAGGCAGGACCACAAAAGUAAAGCAUGUUCACAACAUCCCCAUAGGGUGUUUACUGAUGACUUUCAAUAGGGGAUAAUAGGAUUACUGACUUUACAAACAAACAGACAGUAGGGUACCAAUAUGAAGACUCGGGGGCUCACUCGGUCCUGUAGAAUAGUUUUUGUCAGUUUGGUCAUUUGCAGCAUUUGUACUGUGAAUGGAGAUUACUGCAAGGUGAACCUGUGUCAUAAUGGAGGGACGUGUGUGACUGGCAUUGGAGAAGAUCCCUUCUUCUGCAUCUGUGCCGAAGGAUUUGCUGGAGAUACGUGCAAUGCCACUGAGAAUGGUCCUUGUAAUCCAAACCCAUGUAAAAACGAUGGCACAUGUGAGGUGAUCUCUAACUCCAGAAGAGGAGACGUUUUUAAUGAGUAUGUGUGCAAAUGCCAACCUGGGUUCGAAGGUGCACACUGCCAUAUCAAUGUGAAUGACUGUGCAAACCAGCCUUGUAAGAAUGGAGGCCUGUGUCGUGAUCUGGAUGGGGACUACACCUGCCACUGCCCUUCUCCAUACGUUGGGAAGCAAUGCCAACUACGUUGUACAUCUCUGUUGGGGAUGGAGGAAGGUGGAAUCGUAGAGUCCCAGUUCUCGGCUUCCUCUGUACACUCUGGCAUUCUGGGGCUGCAGCACUGGGGACCAGAGCUUGCACGCCUCAACAACCAGGGCCUUGUCAAUGCCUGGAGCGCCGCACCCCAAGACAAGAACCCCUGGAUUGAGGUUAACAUGCAGAAGAAGAUGCGCCUCACUGGAAUCAUAACACAAGGAGCCAGCCGCAUGGGGACAGCCGUGUUUGUUAAGACUUUCAAGGUUGCAUCCAGCUUUGAUGGCAAAUCAUACACAGUGUACAGAGCAGAUGGCCAGAGAAGAGGCAAAGUAUUUGUGGGAAAUGCAGAUAACGAUGGAACUAAGACAAACAUGUUUGACCUUCCCAUUGUGGCCCAGUAUAUUCGCAUUAUUCCUGUGGUGUGCCGUAAAGCUUGUACUCUCCGGAUGGAACUUGUGGGCUGUGAACUUAACGUGCACUCCAGCACAAUUGGUUGCACCGAUCCGCUGGGCAUGAAAUCCCGUCUCAUCUCUGAUGUGCAGCUUACAGCAUCUAGCAGCUUCCGCACCUGGGGUAUAGAUGCCUUUACCUGGUAUCCCUUCUAUGCUCGCCUGGACAAACAAGGCAAGACUAACGCUUGGGCGGCAGCGAACAACAACCGCUCAGAGUGGCUCCAGCUGGAUUUGGAGAAACCUAAAAGAAUCACAGGCAUCAUCACUCAGGGAGCAAAAGACUUUGGAGUUGUGCAGUUUGUUUCAGCCUUUAAGAUUGCAUAUAGUGAUGACGGACAAUCUUGGAGCAUUGUGAAGGAUCAAAUAACGAGAACAGAUAAGAUUUUCCAAGGCAACAUAGACAACAACACACACAAAAAGAAUUUGUUUGAGCCUCCGUUCUUUGCUCGAUUUGUGCGGUUUCUGCCCUGGGAGUGGCAUGAGCGGAUAACUGUACGCAUGGAGCUGCUGGGCUGUGAUGAUUAGCGGACAUGCUGAAGGCUGCACACUGCCUCUCUCUGCACUACUUUCACCUGAAGUGUUUCUGCUGGUUGUAGACAACAAAUCUACCAGAGAAGAUGUCAUGCUUCAAAUCCACCAGAAGAUGGCAGAAGGCUUUAGGCUUCAUACUCUAUAACAAGGUUCUCUAGGCGACAUGGGAGAAACAGGUUAGGGCAUCACAAACAGCCUAAAAGGGGUCCAUUCAGUCACAGGGAAGUUCAUUCCUUCCACUCCACCCAAUUAGGCAAACAUUAUCAUCUGUUUAAAAAUAAAUUUCUAGACUGAAUUUCCGUCCUACCUGUACAUUGUGAAUAACCUCUCUGAGUACUCUUUGCCCUUCAUUCCUGCUCUGUAUGACAGACUACCAGCCAACAAACAAAUCAGUCCUGUAUUAAACAUGAUGUAUGGAAUGUUUUAAUGGCACGUUGUUGCAUUUGCUGUAAUACAGGUAUUCAAACACAAAGUUCAUCUGAAGACAUUCAUGGAUAAAUUGAAAUUCUCCUACUAUAAGACAACAGAUUAUCACAAUGACAGUAUCGUCUCAUAUUUUCCCAGGUUUUCACUGUUGACUGGUCACUCAUCCAUCUCAAUUCAAGAAAUGAUAGGUUUUCUAUGCCACAGAGUAUCAAACCGCUUGCAAUUCAUGAGAAAAAAAAUGCUUUUCAAGAAAUAUUUGUGCAUCUGCAGUUCAUGCUGCAUUCGUCAUUUCAGCUGUAUUAGAUGAAAAUAAAGCUAUGCUGUAUAAAAGAUAGCUCCCGCUGCCUUUGGGAUGAAAGGGGCACAGCCUCUUGUACUAAGUAAGCAGUCUCAUCACAGAAACAGGCAAAAUGUAAAAUAUUCACAAGGCACUUGUCAUUAAUAGUUCUAUCUGAACUAUUGUUAUAAAAUAAAAGCUGUUAGCUGAUCCAGGGUCAUUCUUGUCCCCAUGUAGUACUAUGCCCUGCACAGUCUUGGGCGACAGAUAACAUCUAACAAACAAGUACAUUUUCAUUUUUGGGUUUACAUUCCUAAUCUGACUGGAUUUGGCCAUCUCUGUCUGAUGUUCUUUAAAGGAAUAGUUCACUUGAAAAUGAAAAUUUGUUCACUUCCAGGCCAAGUUU